AGAUUGAACGCUGGCGGCAGGCCUAACACAUGCAAGUCGAGCGGCAGCACGGGUACUUGUACCUGGUGGCGAGCGGCGGACGGGUGAGUAAUGCCUAGGAAUCUGCCUGAUAGUGGGGGAUAACGCUCGGAAACGGACGCUAAUACCGCAUACGUCCUACGGGAGAAAGCAGGGGACCUUCGGGCCUUGCGCUAUCGAGAUGAGCCUAGGUCGGAUUAGCUA
rnacentral:rRNA from 1 species